CAGCAAGAGUGUUAAACAGCAAUUCAAGUUCCUCUUGAAACGAGGCAUGGUGAUGAGGAGCAGAUAACACACAGUCAGCUCAAGAUGUAAGGAAGUGUGGUUUCUUAAAGGUCGUUGACAGCCAACUCGGUUAAGUUGUCACAGGUGCAAC